rnacentral:tRNA from 1 species
GGGCGGGUGGCGGAAUUGGUCAGACGCACCACACUCAAAAUGUGGCGACUUCGGUCGUGAGAGUUCGAGUCUCUCUCCGCCCA